rnacentral:rRNA from 1 species
UACGAAGGGGGCUAGCGUUGUUCGGAUUUACUGGGCGUAAAGCGCACGUAGGCGGCUCGGUAAGUCGGGGGUGAAAUCCUGGAGCUCAACUCCAGAACUGCCUUCGAUACUGGCGAUCUUGAGUCCGGAAGAGGUGAGUGGAACUCCUAGUGUAGAGGUGGAAUUCGUAGAUAUUAGGAAGAACACCAGUGGCGAAGGCGGCUCACUGGUCCGGUACUGACGCUGAGGUGCGAAAGCGUGGGGAGCAAACAGG